GCCCAGAUGGCGGAAUUGGUAGACGCACUAGGUUCAGGUCCUAGCGGUGGUAACACUGUGGAGGUUCGAGUCCUCUUCUGGGCACCA
rnacentral:tRNA from 1 species